GGGCGUGUAGCUCAGUUGGUCAGAGCACCCGCCUUACAAGCGGGCGGUCGGAGGUUCGAGUCCUCUCGCGCCCA
rfam:Thermobifida fusca YX, complete genome.